rnacentral:snRNA from 1 species
GUGCUUGCUUUGUCAGCAUAUAAACUACAAUUGGAACCAGAGAAGAUUAACAUGGCUCUUGAGCAAGGAUGACAUGCAAAUUCAUGAAAUAUUUUAUAUUUUU